AUUGAACGCUGGCGGCAGGCUUAACACAUGCAAGUCGAGCGGAGAGAGGUAGCUUGCUACUGAUCUUAGCGGCGGACGGGUGAGUAAUGCUUAGGAAUCUGCCUAUUAGUGGGGGACAACAUUUCGAAAGGAAUGCUAAUACCGCAUACGUCCUACGGGAGAAAGCAGGGGAUCUUCGGACCUUGCGCUAAUAGAUGAGCCUAAGUCGGAUUAGCUAGUUGGUGGGGUAAAGGCCUACCAAGGCGACGAUCUGUAGCGGGUCUGAGAGGAUGAUCCGCCACACUGGGACGGAGACACGGCCCAGACUCCUACGGGAGGCAGCAGGGGGGAAUAUUGGACAAUGGGCGGAAGCCUGAUCCAGCCAUGCCGCGUGUGUGAAGAAGGCCUUAUGGUUGUAAAGCACUUUAAGCGAGGAGGAGGCUACUUUAGUUAAUACCUAGAGAUAGUGGACGUUACUCGCAGAAUAAGCACCGGCUAACUCUGUGCCAGCAGCCGCAGUAAUAC
rnacentral:rRNA from 1 species